rnacentral:rRNA from 1 species
UACGGAGGUGGCAAGCGUUGCUCGGAAUCACUGGGCGUAAAGGGCGCGUAGGCGGGGAGGUAAGUCGGGUGUGAAAUCCCUCGGCUCAACCGAGGAACUGCGCCCGAGACUGCUUCUCUUGAGUCCCGGAGAGGAAGGUGGAAUUCCCGGUGUAGCGGUGAAAUGUGUAGAGAUCGGGAGGAACACCGGUGGCGAAGGCGGCCUUCGGGACGGUGACUGACGCUGAGGCGCGAAAGCGUGGGGAGCAAACGGG